rnacentral:tRNA from 1 species
AGCCCCGUGAUGUAAAGCAUAUCAGAUUGCAAGUCUGAAGGAGUAGAGUAAUUCCCUGCCGGGGCUU